GAUACCUUCUUUUUUAUUGUGUUGGCUUAUAGUGAGAAUCUACCAUCAUAACAAUUAACCGAUCGGAUUAAAAUGGGUCAAUAUCAUUUACCCUUUCACUUGUUAAUUCAAUUUGGUUAUUCUCAAGAAGUUGUCUACAUUCUGACUUGAUUCUAACUAUUUGUUUCCUUGCGCUAGCAUUGAGUCGCCUAAAAACUAGUUUAAUUACUUGUGCUAUCGUCUCUCAUCUUUGAUAUGAUUGAUUGAGUGGCUUGAGAAGUUGAUAAAUGACUAUUGUAACAAUAAUUAACAUUACCCAUGAAUAUUUUUAUUGAAAAAAUACUGUUACACAUGUUAAAUUGGAUUGGAUUGCAUUUUUCUGUCAUUUUUUUUGUUCUAUGCUUCUUGUGUCUUGUGUUUUAUGUUUUGAUGGAUUUAUGUUUUGGUGGAUUUAUGGGUAUCUGAGGAACAAACUGUAUGCUCAUCUUUCUUCUUUCCUAUCAAAGUGUUGAGAUUUUCACUUAGUUUGUUCUUUUAAUUCAUGCAUCAUUUGUGGUAG
rnacentral:misc_RNA from 1 species